rnacentral:rRNA from 1 species
GUAAGGUCAAGUAGAAAAGGGCGCACGGUGAAUGCCUAGGCACUAACAGCCGAAGAAGGACGUGACGAACUACGAAAAGCUUCGGGGAGCGGUAAGUACGCAGUGAUCCGGAGAUAUCCGAAUGGGGGAACCCAAUGCAGAGAUGCAUUAUUGAUUAGUGAAUAGAUAGCUAAUCAAAGGAAGACGCAGUGAACUGAAACAUCUAAGUAGCUGCAGGAAGAGAAAGAAAGAUCGAUUUCCUUAGUAGCGGCGAGCGAAGAGGAAAGAGCCCAAACCAAGUGAUUUAUCAUUUGGGGUUGUAGGACUGCGACGUGGCAGUGUAAGAGAUAGUUGAAUUAUCUGGGAAGGUAAGCCAGAGAGGGUGAGAGCCCCGUAAGCGAAAUCUCAAGCACGCCUAGCAGAAUCCUGAGUAGGCCGGGACACGAGGAAUCCCGGUUGAAACCGCGAGGACCAUCUCGCAAGGCUAAAUACUAGUUAGUGACCGAUAGUGAACCAGUACCGUGAGGGAAAGGUGAAAAGAACCCCGGAAGGGGAGUGAAAAAGAACCUGAAACCGUGUGUCUACAAGUAGUCAAAGCACAUUAAAGUGCAAUGGCGUGCCUUUUGUAGAAUGAACCGGCGAGUUACGUUAUCUAGCGAGGUUAAGUCAGAAAAGACGGAGCCGGAGCGAAAGCGAGUCUUAAUAGGGCGAAAAGUUAGGUGACGUAGACCCGAAACCAAGUGACCUACCCAUGACCAGGCUGAAGGUGUGGUAAAACGCACUGGAGGGCCGAACCCACGUAAGUUAAAAAUUGCGGGGAUGAGUUGUGGGUAGCGGUGAAAUUCCAAACGAACUUGGAGAUAGCUGGUUCUCUCCGAAAUAGCUUUAGGGCUAGCCUCGUGGAGAGGAUAAUGGAGGUAGAGCUCUGUUUGGACUAGGGGCCCGUCAGGGGUUACUGAAUCCAGAUAAACUACGAAUUCCAGAUAUCCAUACACGGGAGUCAGACUGCGAGUGAUAAGAUCCGUAGUCGAAAGGGAAACAGCCCAGAUCACCAGUUAAGGUCCCCAAAUCUAUGCUAAGUGGAAAAGGAUGUGGAGUUGCGUAGACAACUAGGACGUUGGCUCAGAAGCAGCCAUCAUUCAAAGAGUGCGUAAUAGCUCACUAGUCGAGUGGCGCUGCGCCGAAAAUUUACCGGGGCUAAGCAUAGUACCGAAACUGUGGAUGUGUUUUAAAGAGCACGUGGUAGGAGAGCGUUCUAAGAGCGGAGAAGUUGAAUCGAGAGGAUCAAUGGAGCGCUUAGAAGUGAGAAUGCCGGUAUGAGUAGCGAAAGAUAGGUGAGAAUCCUAUCCGCCGAAAGACUAAGGUUUCCUGGGGCAGGCUCGUCCGCCCAGGGUAAGUCGGGACCUAAGGCAAGGCCGAGAGGCGUAGUCGAUGGAUAACAGGUAGAGAUUCCUGUACUGUGUCAAAUCGUUAAGAGCGAAGGAGGGACGCAGGAGGUGAAGCACGCAUCGCGAUGGAACGAUGUUCAAGCAACAAGUGCGGUUAAGAGUCAAAUGCUUCUAACCAGCAACACGAGUUGUGAAGAGGAGUGAAUUAAAAGUAGCGAAGGUGUGGUAAUCACACUGCCAAGAAAAGCUUCUAGCCAGAGAUGACAUACCCGUACCGCAAACCGACACAGGUAGUCGAGUGGAGAACACUAAGGUGAGCGAGAGAACUCUCGUUAAGGAACUCGGCAAAAUGACCCCGUAACUUCGGAAGAAGGGGUGCUAGCCAAGAGAUUGGUUAGCCGCAGUGAAUAGGCCCAAACAACUGUUUAUCAAAAACACAGGUCUCUGCAAAAUCGUAAGAUGACGUAUAGAGGCUGACACCUGCCCGGUGCUGGAAGGUUAAGAGGAGAGCUUAGCGUAAGCGAAGGUUUGAAUUGAAGCCCCAGUAAACGGCGGCCGUAACUAUAACGGUCCUAAGGUAGCGAAAUUCCUUGUCGGGUAAGUUCCGACCUGCACGAAAGGUGUAAUGAUUUGGGCACUGUCUCAACGAGAGACUCGGUGAAAUUAUAAUACCCGUGAAGAUGCGGGUUACCCGCGACAGGACGGAAAGACCCCAUGGAGCUUCACUGUAGCUUGAUAUUGAGUAUCUUUUAAACAUGUACAGGAUAGGUAGGAGCCAGAGAAGAUAGGACGCUAGUCUUAUUGGAGGCAAUGUUGGGAUACUACCCUUGUUUGAAGGAUGCUCUAACCUCGACCUGUAAGCCAGGCCAGGGACAGUGUCAGGUGGGCAGUUUGACUGGGGCGGUCGCCUCCUAAAG